CACACCGCCCGUCGCUACUACCGAUUGAAUGGCUCAGUGAGGCCUUGGGACUGGCUCAGAGAGGUCGGCAACGACCACUCAGAGCCGGAAACUUGGUCAAACUUGGUCAUUUAGAGGAAGUAAAAGUCGUAACAAGGUUUCUGAUCCUUCUGUUGGUGAACGCCAUUCAGGAAGCCUUUGCCGCCCGAAAGGGUGUGCGUACCGCGACUAUAAACAAUGCAAGUGCGCCUAAGGGCAAGUUGCGAAUAACGUUUCGUGGCAACGCUGUCAAAUUGCGGCGAGUCUCCUAAAGACUGUGUGACCAAGCCAUCUCCGAAAGGGGGUGGUGGCCGAGCUAAUAGCCCUGGGUAUGGUAACACUACACAGUAUGAUCAGCUUUCUGCGCUCUCGGGCGGAGGAGGUUGUGAAAUGGGUAAGCACGCAGCCAAGUCCUACGGCUCGCUUCGGCAGGCUAUGGAUGCAGUUCACAGGCCAAACGGCAGCGGGUGCGAUCCAGAGCUGAUCGCGCUCAAGAUAUGGUCGGUCCUGCUGGGAAACCAGCGGGGAGUUCACUCAUAAUGUUACAACGUUCCGUAGGUGAACCUGCGGAAGGAUCAUUA
rnacentral:rRNA from 1 species